ensembl:ncRNA asRNA:CR46134 antisense RNA:CR46134
ACGUCUGUUGUUGUUGCGACCGCGAUUUCGGCCACUGCCCCCGCCACCUCCUCCACCACUUCCACCGCCGUUGCCAGGACCGGAGUUGUUGAUGCCACGCCGGCGACGUUGGCCACCGCCACCGCGAUCCCGGUCGUUGAAACUUUCCGCGCCAUUGUUGCUAAAGCCAUUGGAUCCAUUGCCAUUGCCACCAGGAUUGCCAUUGUUCGACCAGGGUGCAUUGGAAGCCCAGGGAUUGGGCCUGCCACCGGAUUGGUCUCUCUCCCGUUCGCGAGCGCGCUCCCGCUCCCUGUCGCGAUCUCCUUCUCGUUCGCGAUCCCGAUCCCUUUGCUCCAGCGGCGGUUCAUCCACAAACUCCGUGUUGGGUUGCUGUGCUUUCGCCGCGACCAGUGACUGCAGAAAGGGCUUUUUACAUUGCAUUAGUUCUCGAACGCACACCAACUGGGCGUUAUGCUGACGUGGUUCGAAGCGGGACUUCUUGGUGGGCGGGGAGACCAUCUCCCCACGUGCCUCCACUGUGGGUGAUACAGAUCUGGACCUAUCCCUCACUGGGACUACAUCGUUGAGCUCCUCCAGCUUGCCAGCGUCGAUGUACUUGUUGAGAAACUCGGCUCCCUGACGAAUAGCAGCCAUCAGUCGAGAGUCCGGGUGAACGCGAAUGAACCGGUUGUACACGAGAACGCCGACAAUGGUCUGUGGAUCGAGGCCGUUGAGCAUGCCGCUGGCCAGGAUGCCCUCCAUUGUGUUCUCGCUGAUUUGCUGGUGGUUCAGUCCAUUGGUGGUGUCCUUGGCCUCUCGGGCGGCCAGCUCCUCGUGAAUGCUGAGCACGCUGGGAUCGUCCGCUCGCCGGGGUCCUGCCCAGUUCACCUGGAAAUUGCGGGGAAUGGGCUUGCUGUAGGGAACCUUUUUCUCCCGGUCGCGGUCAUUUAUUGCUUUGCUUGGAUCCAAAUCCAAGCCAGGAAUAAAGCCUUUGUCGGCAGUUAAACUUUCAGUAAACUCCACCCGGUCCUCGGGUCCCAUUCCGGGUAUAAUUGCAUCAUCUGUUGGGAGAAAAGGGUAUAUAAAAGCAUUGGUUUUGUAGGUCAAAAAAAGGGAUAACAGACCGUAUUCACACUCAUCCAGAGCAGCCAGGCUGGCGGGCAAUGUGUUCAGAUUGUAUUUGUCUCUCAUCAGGUCUCCCGGUCUGUUCCUCGUCCAGAAUUUGAUCGUAUGAUCAUUGGAGCCGGAGCACAGAAUGUGACCCAGUGGGUGCCAGGCCAGAGUCCAAACGAUGCUGUCGUGUGCCGUCUCCACACAGCCGAUCUCCUUGUCGGUACUGCGAGCGGGGAUUGUCAUUAAUCCACUUAUCUUUUAAAGUGUAAACAGAAUGCUAAGACCCACCCAACAUUCCAAAACAAAAUGGAGCCAUCGGAGCCGCCGGAGCAGAAGAGGCCUUCGUGUAUGGGAUGCCAGGAUACGGAGCUGGCCUCCUUCUUGUGGCCACGGAAGACCUGAACCUCCUCACGCAGGUUGCGAAUGUCGAAGAGCUUGAGCAGAUGAUCUCUGGAUGCGGUUACCAGCCAGUUGCCAUUGUCGUUCCACUUCAGAUCCAUCACGGUGGAUUUGUGGGCGUGUCUAUUGAUGAUUGAAAAAAUGUGAGUAUGUGCAGUAGAAUCCAUGAUAAAGAUUCAUCCAAAAAGAAAUACUCACAGAGUAGCCAGGGCAAUGCCGCUCUUGGGAUCCCAAAUCUUGAUGGGUUGCUGGUUGUCCUUGCUUCCGCUGACGAUCAUUCCCUUUUGUGGAUGCCAGUGCACGCACUUGACGUCAGCACCGUGGCCUUUUUGAGAUACAUGGUUAGACUCUGUAUUGGGACUACCUCCUACUAAAUCUCACCUCGUAGCACUCGCUCCUCCUGGCACCGCAUGAAGUCCCAUAUCCUCAGGGUUCCGUCGUCGCUGCCGCUGACGAACUUGCUGUCCGUGGGACUGAAACUGAGUUUGGUGGAUUGCAUUGGAGAACGUUAGAACGUAACAAAACACGGGUUAAAUGAUGAUAAUGAGUGUGGGCGGAGUUAGUUUGAUGAAUUGAUUGAUUAAACUUUAAAUUCAGGAUCAAGUUUUACUUGACUAGGUACGCGAAGCUCACAAUAAUAU